ensembl:lncRNA
UUCACUAGUUCCAAAAACAUCCAGUGAUUUUGCAUAGCCACAUCAUUCAACAGAAAUACUCAUCAUAAAUGUAGUUGAUAAUACAAGUUAUACACAUGGAAUUAUAGAUAUACCUCUCCUUAAUGCAACCGCUGUGUCCGAUUUCAAAAAACCAUGUUGGCGUCAACAUAAACAAGAAAUGACAUGAUAAAUAUUCCCUUACCUUUGAUGAUCUUCAUCAGAAAGCACUCCAGGAAUCCCAGGUCCACAAUAAAUAUUUGUUUUGUUCCAUAAUACCCGUUAUUUAUGUCCAAAUACCUCCGUUUGGUAUACAUAUCCAAACGCUCAUUCUGGUCAGAGUUACUACCAGACAAAAACUUCAGAAAGUUAUUACAGGUCGAAGAAACAUUUCAAACUAAGUACAGAAUCAAUAAUUAGGAUGUUUUUAACAUAUAGCUUUAAUAAAGUUCCAACCGGAGUAUUCCUUUGUAUCUUGAUGAGCAAUGGAACCCAAGUGGAUACCAUGAGGAAUGAGCGUGAUCAGAAAAUGGCUGACUGCCAGUCACCUGAUAGAUUCUGCUCUCAUUCAGUCCCACAACACAGAAGUCUCAUUCAAAUUUCUAUAGAUGGUUGACAUCUAGUGGAACCCCUAGAAAGUGCAACAUCAUUCAUAUCUCAAGGGGAUUUCAUUGGGAACUGUGGUGAAUACAUACCAAGCUCAGAUUUCUCACUUCCUGUUUUGAUUUCUCCUCAGGAUUUUGCCUGCCAUAUGAGUUCUGUUAUACUCACAGACAUCAUUCAAACAGUUUUAGAAACGUUUGUGUUUUCUAUCCAAUACUAAUAAUAAUAUGCAUAUAUUAGCAACUGAGACUGAGGACCAGGCAAUUUACUUUGGGCAACUUAUUCAUCCAAGCUACUCAAUACUGCCCUCCAGCCAUAAGAAGUUUUAAUGAACUCAAACAUCUCUUCUUUACUUGUCACAUUAUAAGAUGAGUUACAUUAUGACUUCCAUUUCAACAUUAAACUUGAAUAAAACCAAAGCACUCAAUUGUACCAUCCCCUAUAUAUCCUCUCAACGCACACACAAACUUGAAUCUGACUUCAUGUCUGCCCUUUGACUUGAUUCUCUCAGUAGGUAUCUUACUGUACUGUGUGCCUCAGGAGUGAUUCAAAAGUAAAUACGUUUCCCUUUCCAGGGAACAUCACUGACAUGUGCCCUUUUUUGGGAGAGGUGUCGUAUCAACCCAAAAGGACUGCAUAGCCCUUACACCAGAUGAUAAU